GUUUGUACUUAAUUGAAGUAGAAUUCAUCGAAAUUUAUAUGAAAAAAUUAGGUUAUGACAUUCUGCUGCAGUAUCCCAAAUACAUUAGAUGUGAUGAAGUUUUCGUUAUUUUGAAGACUAGAAUUAAUUCAAUAAAAUGUCGAUUAAAAUUACAUGUUUUUUAGAUAAAAGUUAUCAAAUUAUGUCACAACAUACACAAUGUAUUUAUUGUGUUCAAACAAAGUAACAUCUAGAAUACCCUAUCUUUUAGAAAGUUCACUUUCAUAAUACUGAAAGUUGAUAUUUAUUACCAUUUAGAACCAGGAAUGGCAAUUAUUGGCAAUAUUUGGAUCAAUGAUUUAGAUGUAUUCGAUAAUAAUGGAAAUCAAUCGGAGGGGAUCAAUGUUUACAUACUUGAAAAUCACAAGAUUGUAAUCUGAAGAAAAAGUUAAAGUGAAAAGAAAACCAUUUUAAGAUUCUUUGAAAAAUAUUCAGAACAUAUAAACCUUUAUAAAUUAAAAC